UGAGCAGUAGCUCAGUGGUAGAGCCUUCGCUUUAUAUGAGGAGAGACCUGGGUUCGAUUUCCGGCUGCUUCC
rnacentral:tRNA from 1 species